AGUAACCUGGAAUGUGCGAUAAUUCCUGUAUUUUUGAACCUACAAUACUUUAAACGGGAUUCCGAUACAUGGUCCGGAAGUCAGGCCUACGUCGCGAUAGCGAAAAGCAGUGGAAGGCUGAAAGGCUGUUGAGGUUGCCCACCUGGCUGUCAGCUAGGAGUCAAAGAACAGGAACCGGCAUCCCGGGGCCUUU
rnacentral:other from 1 species